AGUCGUAACAAGGUCUCCGUUGGUGAACCAGCGGAGGGAUCAUUACAGAGUUGCAAAACUCCCCAAACCAUCGUGAACGCUACCUAAACCGUUGCUUCGGCGGGCGGCGCCCUCGCGCGCCCCCCUGGGCCCGCACCGCGGGCGCCCGCCGGAGGUACACCAAACUCUUGAUAUGUCAUGGCCACUCUGAGUCUUCUAUACUGAAUAAGUCAAAACUUUCAACAACGGAUCUCUUGGUUCUGGCAUCGAUGAAGAACGCAGCGAAAUGCGAUAAGUAAUGUGAAUUGCAGAAUUCAGUGAAUCAUCGAAUCUUUGAACGCACAUUGCGCCCGCCAGUAUCCUGGCGGGCAUGCCUGUUCGAGCGUCAUUUCAACCCAUCAAGCCCACGGCUUGUGUUGGGGACCUGCGGCUGCCCGCAGGCCCUGAAAACCAGUGGCGGGCUCGCUAGUCACACCGAGCGUAGUAGCAUACGACCUCGCUCAGGGCGUGCUGCGGGUUCCAGCCGUAAAACGACCUUCGCGACCCCAAGGUUGACCUCGGAUCAGGUAGGAGGACCCGCUGAACUUAAGCA
rnacentral:misc_RNA from 1 species